rnacentral:autocatalytically_spliced_intron from 1 species
GAAAGCCGUAUGCGGGAAAACCGAACUUCCAGUUCUGUGGGGGAUGGGUUGCAAAUUGCUUACCCUUCUACCCGGAG